rnacentral:rRNA from 1 species
CAAUAGCGUAUAUUAAAGCUGUUGCGGUUAAAAAGCUCGUAGUUGGAUUUCUGCUGAGAACGACCGGUCCGCCCUUUGGGUGUGUAUCUGGCUCUUUCUUGGCAUCUUCUUGGUGAACGUUGCUGCACUUGACUGUGUGGAGCGCUACCCAGGACUUUUACUUUGAGGAAAUUAGAGUGUUUCAAGCAGGCAUACGCCUUGAAUACAUUAGCAUGGAAUAAUAAGAUAGGACCUCGGUUCUAUUUUGUUGGUUUCUAGAGCUGAGGUAAUGAUUAAUAGGGAUAGUUGGGGGCAUUCGUAUUUAACUGUCAGAGGUGAAAUUCUUGGAUUUGUUAAAGACGGACUACUGCGAANGNAUUUGGNAAGGAUGUUUNCAUUG